CCUCCCCCAGACGGAGUAUACACAUGCGCGCCAUAAAAUAGUGCGGCCAAAAAUGAAGUAUUAAAAAAUAGGUCGUUACAUUUGAACAUGUUGUCUAUUCUUGAUAAUUUACUCUAAUGUUCGUACUUUUUGACCAUGUAAGCUGUACGUAAGUCAUUGAUUAAGCGGCAUUUCAGAUGUUUACGCGCACUGAUAUGACAGAAGAGAAGUGCUUCUGUCCUGUAUGGAAUUCAGGACUUCAGUCAGUGCAGGGCGGCAAUAUUUGUGAGGUUACCACAGAAGUUUUCAGCAUGGCACGUGGGUCUGGUGAUCUCGGAAGUGUUCUCUACAAUGGUGGGAAUUCAUCUGGAUAAUGUACAGCAGGAUGGAAAAGACGAUGCAGGGACGACACUAUCAGCCUUUCUUCUGUUUACCCAAAUACUGAACAAAACGGGUGAAAGAGCAAAACUAUUGUAUUGGCAACGGCAGAGCAUCCAGCUUACUCGGGUUAUUAGUCAGGUCUCAACAUAAUACAGCUGUCAAGCCUCUUGGAAACCCAGACUUCGGGGACUGUGCCUCUGGUACAGUGGGGGCUUGUUCAGCUUAGUUAGAUGGGUUUGCUGGAUGUUAUGACCAGAAAUAUUAAUUUUGCUCUUGUUCUCAAUGCCACAGUUGCACUUUCCUUGGUCAAGGCUAGUGUUUCCUGGUGUGGGUCUGUGCUGGCCUUUCAUCAUUGUGUAUGGGCAUCCAAACACGAAACUACCAAAUGAUGAUGAGAGCUUAAUUUGGGUUAAGCAGUUUAAACAAAAACUUUCUAACCAAAUUUAUGAACAUAUGCUCGUCCGGAGAGUUUCACCCUAAAAGCGAACAAUAGAGCUAAAUUUAAUACAAGAGAGUUGCAGCCUGACAAAAAAAAAACAGACACUUGUCACUGAAAUAAUACCUACAGAGCCUGUAUCGCCUGGUACAGAAAUAAUUUUCUUAGUCUCUCGGAAUCCCUCCAGCAUCCUCAAAUGCAUUGUGUACGGUUGUGUGUGUGGCAUGCCUGGAGUAAUAUUGUUGCCACAGAGCAAGGUGGUGUGGAGCCUGCAUCAUGAAAUGAAUUGGCUUGUAUAUAAGGUCUGAGUUCCGCUACAAUUUUGUUAUCUGUAUGGACUCGCCCAUGCCACCGAUGGCAGCUGAAUGAGCGGCGCUUGCUGCCGUACCUGCUGCAUUCCGCUUGUAGAUUUUCAAGUCUGGAAGCGACUUGUGUGCGCAGGUGAUGGGCUUUACAUUAGUUAGUUCCACUGCUGUAAAAUCAUGUUGGUUGACAAUGUAUACUCAGCAGCGGACUUGUGCGGUCAUGAGCUGUUCCCUGUCCUCUGCCGUCCUGCAGAGACUUGGCUUCCAGGGCAAUUGGCAUGGCUUGUAAACGGGGUCUUUCAGUCUCGCCUUACAGGCACAUGACACGUUUGCAAUUUGAACUGUUGCCACUGAAACAGUCCAAUAUGUUGUUCUUCGCCUCCUUGACGGCAUUGACGAACUUGUCAUCAUCGAUGGGAUAACGCGCCCUUCCCACUGCACUCAGCGUUUUGCCAAAGCUUAGCUGAGGAUUUGGCAAAAGCGUGUUUUCUUUGUGACACACUUCUUAUUACAUCCAGAACAAAGUGGCUUUCCUAACAUUAUUUGGGGGCUAAGUUAUCUUCAAAAUGGUGAAAUGUGUAAAACGCAGUCACGCCCUUACAAAGCUUUUUAUUGCCGACUAACAGUUGGUGAAGUAAAUCUAUUAGAGAAAGACAGCUGUAACAAUUGCGAUGAAAAGCAUACCAUAGAACAUUUGUUUAUUCAUUGUAGCUAUACUACAGCAUUUUGGCAACAAUUUAGAUAUUGGUGGAAAAGCGUGACAAAGCAAGAUAUACGUUUAAGCGAGAAUACGAUAAUAUAGUGUGUAAUAGAACGAGCAUACCUUGCUUUUUGUAUAACGGUAGCAAAAUAUAGUCUUUACAUCUGCUUAACUCAAACAUUAAACCCAGUAUCAGACAUUUCCUUUUACAACUAAAAAUUCUAACAUGUAAGAUGAAAGGUCCUUCUCUGUCUGUGUCCAUCUACGUUUUGUACAUGUCGUUUUUUGUAUGUC